rnacentral:lncRNA from 1 species
GAAUUAGUCGGUGCACUGUUAACAAUUUUAUAUAGAGCUUUGUUGGGAAAAUAUGUGUAGUACAAACUUUUUUUUAUUAAUGAUUAAUUAUUUGAGUUUAUUAGUUUUAUCAGGUUUUGUGGUCAGCUUUGUUGGGAAAAUAUGUGUAGUGACAACUUUUUUUAUUAAUGAUUAACUAGUUGAGUUUAUUAGUUUUAUAAGGUUUUAUGGUCGAGUUCUUAGAUUUCAUAUGGUGUUUAAUGUAAUUAUGUUUGUGUUAUGCCUCAUCCAGGUUCGAAGAAUGUCCACGUUGUAGUCACUAAUGAGUGAACUCAGGUCUACGCUCCACGUCGCUUUGUCUACUUGGCAAUCCCGUCAAAUCCUCAUAAAGAGGUCAAAUCCUCAUGGACGAGAUGAGGCGAUACAUCCUCUAGGCACUUGAGGUGCGUCCCCAUGAGACUCUCGUACAAGAUCCUUUAUGAUAGAUUGAUGUGGCCACUCACGACAGCAGCCACUAUAUCAAGUUAACUUGUUAAGUCUAGGCAUAGACCAUAGGGUGGCAAAUUGUCAGAAACAUUAAAUACGCCUGAGCCGAUAAAAUGACGCCUAUGAUAAGGCAACUCGACUGUUAAGAUGAUAUCGCGUGUUUCUUCAUUCAACGGUCAUUAUUUUACACUUCUACGAUAAAAGCUCACACUUAAUGUCAUUUGAUAGGUAAUGUAAUUUUACACACUCAACUCUCAUUGAUCUCUCUCAUUUUUAAGUCUCUAUAAAUCCAUUCUAUUUUGACCCUCCAUAUUCAGAACACUUUUGUGGCUCACGUCAACAACAUGUCCCACACCCAAACAUUCUUAUAAGCGACUGACUUGAUUAUUGGACUGCAAGCGAUCACCUUCCCCAUCUUUGAGAAAGGUCACGUAUUGUUAACGAUUUGUUAGUAUGCAUGCGAGAGGUUAUGUGGACGUAAGUGAAGUAGGGAUCUAUUGGACACACCAGUCGUGCGAAAAUCGAGAGCAAUAGGGAUUGUAAUAUCCCAAAAUUUA